rnacentral:rRNA from 1 species
UACGUAGGGUGCAAGCGUUGUCCGGAAUUAUUUGGGCGUAAAGAGCUUGUAGGCGGUUUGUCGCGUCUGCUGUGAAAUUUCGGGGCUCAACCCCGAACUUGCAGUGGGUACGGGCAGACUAGAGUGUGGUAGGGGAGACUGGAAUUCCUGGUGUAGCGGUGAAAUGCGCAGAUAUCAGGAGGAACACCGAUGGCGAAGGCAGGUCUCUGGGCCAUAACUGACGCUGAGAAGCGAAAGCAUGGGGAGCGAACAGG